rnacentral:rRNA from 1 species
AACCUUACCCACCUUUGACAUGUACGGAAUCCUUUAGAGAUAGAGGAGUGCUCGAAAGAGAGCCGUAACACAGGUGCUGCAUGGCUGUCGUCAGCUCGUGUCGUGAGAUGUUGGGUUAAGUCCCGCAACGAGCGCAACCCUUGUCAUUAGUUGCUACAUUUAGUUGGGCACUCUAAUGAGACUGCCGGUGACAAACCGGAGGAAGGUGGGGAUGACGUCAAGUCCUCAUGGCCCUUAUAGGUGGGGCUACACACGUCAUACAAUGGAUGGUACAAAGGGUCGCCAACCCGCGAGGGGGAGCCAAUCCCAUAAAGCCAUUCGUAGUCCGGAUCGCAGUCUGCAACUCGACUGCGUGAAGUCGGAAUCGCUAGUAAUCGUGGAUCAGAAUGUCACGGUGAAUACGUUCCCGGGUCUUGUACACACCGCCCGUCACACCAUGGGAGCGGGUUCUGCCAGAAGUAGGUAGCCUAACCGUAAGGAGGGCGCUUACCACGGCAGGGUUCGUGA